GUUUCAUGUGCGGUUCUUCUUUUUUUCUCCUGCCUGUACAUUCUUCUGCAAUUUUUUAAAAAUUCCUUUCCUCUGUGUUGCCCAUCCCUUCCGUCUUCCAUUCCUCCCAGUUUUCCUAUUCCCCUUUCUUUCUCCCUGUCUUUUAUUCCACACUACUCUUUUGACAAAACACGAACUGGAGGUAAAACUCUAGCUCUGCAACUUCUGUCUGCUAAACCUUCGCUGGGUAAACCUGCAUUAUAUAGAUGCAUUGUAGGGGUUUCUGAGGGAGGCUCCCCCAGAUGUUGCAUUUUUUGCAUAAGGAUUAUUUUGUGCUAAAGGCAACUGAAAUCUGACCUGCCAGAAGAACAUAGGAGGUUUCCUAGAGGAAAGUUUUCUUCCUCCCCAACAAUAUACACUACAGUAAGUUCCCUACAUACGAACCUUCAAGUUUCGAACUUUCAAAGAUGUGAACGUGUGUGCCAGCCCCUGUAUGCCUGCUGUACUUUUCAAGGUCUGGCACCAUAGAGUCUUACCAUUAUAAUGCAAAAGGCAGUGCACAGUCCUAGC